AUGAUGAGCUCCAAGAAACUAGCUCAACUUUCCAAGAAGUGGCAAGGAAUCAGUGCCAUCGGGCGAAGAAGGGUCACAACAACGGACAAGGAUGUGCACCCAUCCUGCAGCUCAGUUGCAGGAAAGGGCCACUUCGUUGUCUACUCCUCCGACGGGAGGCGCUUCGAGAUCCCCAUAGCGUGCCUCCGCACGAUGAUCUUCGAGGAGCUCCUGAGGAUGUCGCAGGAAGAGUUUGGGUUCACAAGUGAGGGGAGGAUCACACUGCCUUGUGAUAUGACUAUGAUGGAGUAUGUAAUGUGUUUGCUCAGGAGAGAGGCCUCUGAAGAUGUUGAGAGGGCGCUUCUCAGCUCCAUAAUAACAACUUGCCACCAUCCAAGCAGAAUGAUGCAAGCAGCCACUGGACUUCACCAGCAAUUUGCUGUGCGCAGCUCUUCAAGAGUGAACGUCUCCAGAUUUUUCUUUCUGUUUUUAUGUUCCAUCUUUUUUCCCGGUUGUACUUUUGGAGCACACCUUUUGUGCAAUGUUUUUCCAAGGGUGCCGUACUGUGGAUGUACAGAUGGAUGCAUGUAA
rnacentral:rRNA from 1 species